rnacentral:tRNA from 1 species
CAGAGUGUAGCUAAACAGUAUAGCAUCUCCCUUACACCGAGAAGACGCCCGUGCAAACCGGGCCACACUGA